AUUUCCUUUAAAGGUAGUCCAGAGAGGCUAAAAAGGGCGAACAUGACUAUUCAUAUAACUUAAUUGUGUAUAUAUGAAUGCCCUUUUAUCCUAUGGAUGAAAGGGCAUUUUAUU
rfam:Bacillus bataviensis LMG 21833 contig97, whole genome shotgun sequence.